rnacentral:pre_miRNA from 13 species
GGACAGCGCGCCGGCACCUUGGCUGUAGACUGUUUACUGCCUGGGCCUCCCUCAGUAACAGUCUCCAGUCACGGCCACCGACGCCUGGC